ACGACUCUCGGCAACGGAUAUCUCGGCUCUCGCAUCGAUGAAGAACGUAGCGAAAUGCGAUACCUGGUGUGAAUUGCAGAAUCCCGCGAACCAUCGAGUCUUUGAACGCAAGUUGCGCCCGAGGCCACUCGGUCGAGGGCACGCCUGCCUGGGCGUCACAC
rnacentral:rRNA from 1 species